rnacentral:rRNA from 1 species
AACGUAGGAGACAAACGUUAUCCGGAGUUACUGGGCGUAAAGGGCGUGUAGGUGGUUUCGUAAGUCUGGCGUGAAAUUUCUCGGCUUAACCGAGGCAGGUCGUCGGGAUACUGCGGGACUUGAGGACGGUAGAGGCGUGUGGAAUUCCGGGUGUAGUGGUGAAAUGCGUAGAGAUCCGGAGGAACACCAGUGGCGAAGGCGACACGCUGGGCCGUACCUGACACUGAUGCGCGACAGCAUGGGGGAGCGAACGGG